CGAGGCGAACCGGGGAAACUGAAACAUCUCAGUACCCCGAGGAAAAGAAAUCAACCGAGAUUCCCCCAGUAGCGGCGAGCGAACAGGGAGCAGCCCAGAGUCAACAUCAAUAUUUACCGCAGGAGAAAGAUCUAGAAAGGCCGGCAAUAAAGGGUGAUAGCCCCGUAUCUGAAGCGGUAAGUGUUGUGAACUCGAAGAGUAAGGCGGGACACGUGUUAUCCUGUCUGAAUAUGGGGGGACCAUCCUCCAAGGCUAAAUACUCCUGACUGACCGAUAGUGAACCAGUACCGUGAGGGAAAGGCGAAAAGAACCCCGGCGAGGGGAGUGAAAUAGAACCUGAAACCGUGUACGUACAAGCAGUAGGAGCACCCGAAAAGGUGUGACUGCGUACCUUUUGUAUAAUGGGUCAGCGACUUAUAUUCUGUAGCAAGGUUAACCGCAUAGGGGAGCCGUAGGGAAACCGAGUCUUAACUGGGCGUUAAGUUGCAGGGUAUAGACCCGAAACCCGGUGAUCUAGCCAUGGGCAGGUUGAAG
rnacentral:rRNA from 1 species